rnacentral:tRNA from 1 species
ACCUUCUUAGCACAGUAGGCAGCGAGUCAGUCUCAUAAUCUGAAGGUCCUGAGUUUGAGCCUCAGAGAGGGCA